GCCAGGUGCGGUGGUGCACACCUGUAAUCCUGCGGCUCAGGAGGCUGAGGCAGGAGAAUCACGAGUUCAAAGCCAGCCUCAGCAAUGGUGAGAUGCUAAGCAACUCAGUAAGACUCUGUCUCUA
rnacentral:sRNA from 1 species